rnacentral:lncRNA from 1 species
UGUAUUUGUUAUAGUAUGUUGAUUUUCUAUUUUAAUAAUUAAAACUACCAUUUUUAAUCAACUUUAGUUCCAACUUUAUUUUGCUGAGCUUGCUGAACUUGCUGAGCGCUAUUAAAGUUUGGAGUCAUACCAGUAAUGCUCAAUAAUCACUACAUGACAUAAUUGGUUUCAAUUUUAAAAGAAAAAUUUGAUGUUUCUGCUAAAACUAAGGUAAUGUAAAUUUAAGGCAUCUCUUGAAUGUACAAGUUUUGGUCAUUGUCUCUUAGCAGAUGAAUGAGAUGAGAAUUACGAAUGGAGGUGCUCCCAGUGAUUCCAGAGCUGUUCUUCCAAGAGAGUGUCAACUAGCACUGAGCCUGGAUGUAAGGAUGUUCCUUCUGGAUCAAGAAGCGAUUUGAUUGUGGAGCCUGGAUGUAAGGAUGUUCCUUCUGGAUCAAGAAGCGAUUUGAUUGUGCUUACUGUUGUACAAAGUUGGCAACCGAGUAUUGGGGAAGCAGUUGUGCACACAACGUGUCCUUCAGCGUAGACUCCUCUAACCAGAUGGAGAGCAGACAAUGAUCAAGCUCAUUUUACAGGCUGCCCUUUCAAAUGCGUCCAAGAUGAAGAAAAGGCCAUUUCGAGCAUUGACCAAUGCUGUGUAUGACCCGAUGUCUAGGAAAGGACCCCUAGGAUGCUCAGCGAAGGCUUUCUACAAAAAAUUAAUCAUGUAACACUAAGGAAUCUGUCACUUGUCAACAAAAUAAAAUGGCAUUGUAUUUUCAUCUGUUCGCCUGUUCAAUGCAGGGACCUAUUUGCCUUCUAUGCAAGGGGGGGGGGGGGGGUUAUGUAUAACCUGUAUUCCCUGGUCCGGGCAAGAAAGUAAUACUGUUCGCCUGUUCAAUGCACGGAGUAGUGUCGCCUUUUUUAUGGCCGGGGGGGGGGGGGGGGGGGGGGGGGGGGGGGGGGUGUGUACAAAAGUCUUGUCUGUUGGUGGCCACGAUGCAGAGAGUACUUAGAGUUGGACAUGGUAGCUCCAUGCUCCAAUGUAUGCAUAUGCAGAUACUUGUAUAAAUGGAUCGAAAAAUUAAUACCUGGGUCCUUCCUAGGGGUGGAU